UCGGUAAUUUUGGAUCCCCUUAAGGUUAUAUAUUAAGGUUAUAUAGCAAGAAAUCGCGACGUCAAGAUAUAAUAAGGUUAAGGUUAUAUAGCAAGAAAAUAUAUUUGGUUCUAUCGAGAUAAAGCGAAAUCAAUCUUUUCGAGAAGACCGGUAUACUUUUAUAGCUGGGAUUUCUUCAGCUCAAAUUGCAUACGGUCUUAUACCGUAGCAAUCCUAGCUGAAGAGCUUUGCUAAACAGUGUAACAUAUUGGAUUAUAGAGAUUUGGGAGUAACAGACAAUAGAGGGAAGUGACCAUCCAGCGCUUAUAAUCGAACAUAAUGACUUGGGUUCUCAAAGGUUUUACAAUGCACGGAGUAAGCAAAGUUUCAAAUAUGAUCACUUGAGGAAGGAGGUGCAAGAUUAUGAACCUUAUGAACCAGAUCCUAUAGCGGAGCCUUGGAGGUCAGCUUUUCAAGACGAGAUAACGAAUUAUACUCAAAGUCAUUAUAGACACGGCGCCUGCUCAGUUUUUGGAAUAAGAAUAUUAAAAGAAAUAAUUUAAAAAAAGAGAA